rnacentral:rRNA from 1 species
UGGGCGCAAGCCUGAUCCAGCCAUGCCGCGUGUGUGAAGAAGGCCCUCGGGUUGUAAAGCACUUUCAGCGAGGAAGAACGCCUGGCGGUUAAUACCCGCCAGGAAAGACAUCACUCGCAGAAGAAGCACCGGCUAACUCCGUGCCAGCAGCCGCGGUAAUACGGAGGGUGCAAGCGUUAAUCGGAAUUACUGGGCGUAAAGCGCGCGUAGGUGGCUUGAUAAGCCGGUUGUGAAAGCCCCGGGCUCAACCUGGGAACGGCAUCCGGAACUGUCAGGCUAGAGUGCAGGAGAGGAAGGUAGAAUUCCCGGUGUAGCGGUGAAAUGCGUAGAGAUCGGGAGGAAUACCAGUGGCGAAGGCGGCCUUCUGGACUGACACUGACACUGAGGUGCGAAAGCGUGGGUAGCAAACAGGAUUAGAUACCCUGGUAGUCCACGCCGUAAACGAUGUCGACCAGCCGUUGGGUGCCUAGCGCACUUUGUGGCGAAGUUAACGCGAUAAGUCGACCGCCUGGGGAGUACGGCCGCAAGGUUAAAACUCAAAAGAAUUGACGGA